AUUGAACGCUGGCGGCAGGCCUAACACAUGCAAGUCGAACGAGUGGCGGACGGGUGAGUAAUGUCUGGGAAACUGCCUGAUGGAGGGGGAUAACUACUGGAAACGGUAGCUAAUACCGCAUACCAUCAGAUGUGCCCAGGUGGGGUCUGCUUGUUGGUGGGGUAACGGCUCACCAAGGCGACGAUCCCCAGCUGGGCUGAGAGGCUGACCAGCCACACUGGAACUGAGACACGGUCCAGACUCCUAGGGGAGGCAGCAGGGGGGAAUAUUGCACAAUGGGUGCAAGCCUGAUGCAGCGAUGCCGCGUGUAUGAUGAAGGCCGUCGGGUUGUAAAGUACUUUCAGCGGGGAGGCGUUACCCGCAGUAGAAGCACCGGCUAACUCCGUGCCAGCAGCCGCGGUAAUUC
rnacentral:rRNA from 1 species